CCCUUAGAUGUUCUGGGCCGCACGCGUGCUACACUGAGUGGAUCAGCGGGUCAGGUGGCGCGAAAGUGUUUCCUAAUCUUUAAAUCCGCUCGUGAUGGGGAUUGACGGUUGCAAUUUUCCGUCAUGAACGAGGAAUACCUUGUAAGCGCGGGUCAUCAUCCCGCGCUGAAUACGUCCCUGCCCUUUGUACACACCGCCCGUCGCUCCUACCGAUUGAGUGGUCCGGUGAGGCUUUGGGAUCUGGGCGGAAAGAGCGUUUCGCUGUUUCUGCCCGGAAAACUCAGUCGAACCUUAUCAUUUAGAGGAAGGAGAAGUCGUAACA
rnacentral:rRNA from 1 species